rnacentral:rRNA from 1 species
ACAGCAGUCGCCGCGGGAAUACGAAGGGGGCUAGCGUUGUUCGGAUUUACUGGGCGUAAAGCGCACGUAGGCGGAUCCUUAAGUCAGAGGUGAAAUCCCAAGGCUCAACCUUGGAACUGCCUUUGAUACUGGGGAUCUCGAGUUCGGGAGAGGUGAGUGGAACUGCGAGUGUAGAGGUGAAAUUCGUAGAUAUUCGCAGGAACACCAGUGGCGAAGGCGGCUAACUGGUCCAUAACUGACGCUGAGGUGCGAAAGCGUGGGGAGCAAACAGGAUUAGAUACCCGCGUAGUCCCUGUCUCUUAUAC